rnacentral:lncRNA from 1 species
GAAACUGAAACAAAACACAUUUUAAAACAAUGUGUGGAGGACUGUGAGUGAUCAAAUUACUGCAGCUGUUCCUAUUUUGCAUUCUAAUGAACUGAGCUACCAUGGCACAGCUGAUGAUCAGUAACUCAUUAAGCUGCACUAACAAGAUCAUGGACCAGUUUUCAUUCAUACCUUUAAAACAGGGUGGUUGAACUUGGGAUUCUUAAUAAGGUCAGCAAGUUUCACAUGGGUUCACAUGCCCUGAGUGUGUUUUGUGCUUGCAGCUGGGAUGCACAGGGUGCUGGUGCUUGGGAGCAGAGCUCUGAUAAAAGGUGAGAACAGAGAUUUGGAUGGAGACCAGCAGGUGGGCUGUCCAGGGCUGAUGGAAACCAUUCAGUGCUGUCUGUGGCUGCCCCAGAGCCGGUACCCACCGUGUUGUUCUGAUGCCCUCACGAGCUGAGCUGCCUUCUUAGCUGUAGGAUCAUGAGCCCAUGUCUGGCCAUAGGAUCAUGAGCCCAUAUCUGUGAGCUGCUCUGGGCAGUGGUCCCUGCUGUCCUCUUGGCCAGACCCUGGCUUUUCACCUGGACAAGCAUCCUGAGAGCAGCAACUCUCCCUCUUGGCUUCUCUUUGCAAACAGCACCAGAAAUGCUUUUGCUAAGCAAAAGCGAGGACUGAUGUCAUCCUGAGGCCCUGCGAGCCAGGGAUCUGAGCAAAGGCCCAGGGUGCCUGUAUCUUAAUCCAGCUGCGGUUGUUCCUGCUUUCAAGCCCUUAUUACCUGCCUAAUUCCGCGCUAGGAUAUUGCUCAGACAUCUAAGGAGAUGCAAGCUGGCAAUUUCAACGCGCUCCUAAACAUCUCCAGCAAAACACCUGCUGGUGCCAAGACCUCAAUGGCUCCUCAGCCCAUUUCUCCUAAGUAAGGAGAUUUCCAGGGCGAGUCUGCCCUGGCCCUGCAGGAGGCACCUUUUUUGCUGCCAGGGCUCCCCGGCUGUCGCUCAGGGUGCAGGAAUGCAGGCGAGGCUGCCCUGUGGUUAGGAGGGCUCCACCCCACAGACAGAGGCAGGCGCCCAGGUACCAGCGAGGAGACUUG